AUCGCUUCUCGGCCUCUGGCUAAGAUCAAAGUGUAGUAUCUGUUCUUAUCAGCUUAAUAUCUGUAAAAUUUAUUAUUGUUUUGGAGAGGUUUUAAAAGUUUUUUUCUAUUGACAUUUGAGACAAGUUUGACAUUCUCUCUUGUUUCAUGGUGUUUCGACAAUACGUUUUGACUUUUUUGAGACAAGAGAA